CAGUAGCCACGGUAAUACGGAGGUCCCGAGCGUUGUUCGGAUUUACUGGGCGUAAAGGGUGUGUAGGAGGUUGGAUAAGUCAGGUGUGAAAUCCCGCAGCUCAACUGCGGAACUGCAUUCGAUACUGUUCAACUAGAGGAUCGGAGGGGGAAGCGGAAUUCUUUGUGUAGCGGUGAAAUGCGUAGAUAUCAAGAGGAACACCGAUGGCGAAGGCGGCUUCCUGGAAGAUACCUGACUCUGAAACACGAAAGCCAGGGGAGCGAAUGGGAUUAGAUACCCCCGUAGUCCCUGUCUCUUAUAC
rnacentral:rRNA from 1 species